GAAGAAUCCAAUUACAAUUUUGGUUAGAGAGCAGGUAGGCUGGCUGACUGUCGGGGGCAAAGGUUCUGUACAACCAUAAAAUCAGAGCCUGUCCACAAGUUGUCAAUCUAAAUGGACAAACACAUAAGGUGUGUCUGCGGAGCAGCUGCAGGAGGGCUUUGUUUUAAAGGUAUACAAUGUUAACCAUUCAAGAAAAAACAUUAUUGGUUAUGAGGGUCAAUAAUUUAGCCUAAAGAAAAAGCACAGAGUCUGACUGAAAAACUAGGAGAAGGAGUCGAAAGCUUGAACUCAAACCCAAUUGUGGACUUGAAAUUAAACUCAAGUAAACAACUGUCAGCUGGUGUAUUUUUAUAAAAAGCUAAUUCGGUCAGACUCACCCAUGUGUCUGUGAUAGGUCUGAUUUAAGAACGAUACAACAGCUCUAAAAAAGAAAGAAAGAGGAAGGAAAUACCAGAGAAACAUGACACCAAACUCCAACCCUGACUUGCAUGACAGCUAUGAAGAAAAAUAGGGGCCUGGGCAAUGUGCAUGAGUGAAGAAAUUAUGUGAAAUCCCACCAUGUUGUACAAAAGGACUGCUUUAUGAAUGUUAAACAGUAUAUACAAUCAGCAUGGACUUCUAGAAGCUUCUGUGAUGCCUUAAAGUUUAAGGAUGAUUAUAUAACCACAGAAGCAAGUUUAAGGUCUGAAGUGAAAAGAAACAGGAAAGCAGUGCUUAUGGAUGAUGACUAGCAGGACAAUUGAGGAUUUUCAGAAAAGAUCAAAAAUCAAUGAAAUCCCUGUGCUUUCUUUUGGAGCUUUGUAAAGUCAGUACCCAAGCCCUCUGACAUCUGGAACUCACUUGAAGAAUUACAAAAAAUGCAUCCAUCGUUUUCAAAAGUGAGUUACAAUCACUUCAAAAUAAUCUCCACGAUCUAGGCUCUUCACUCACAAUUUGUACUCCCCUUUCAGGUGUCUACAAACAAAUGGAAACACAGUUUCUCAUUCUCAGGCUGUAAGAACUGCCAUAUGCAUAGACUGCCCACAGUUGUGUUUGUCCUUUUGUGUUGUGAAACUUGAAUAAAAAGU